ACGUAGGGGGCAAGCGUUAUUCGGAAUUAUUGGGCGUAAAGCGCUCGUAGGCGGGAAGCCAAGUCCGUGAAGAAAGACCUGGGCUCAACUCAGGGAACGGCACGGAUACUGGUUUUCUUGAGGCAAUCAGAGGGUGAUGGAAUUCCCGGUGGAGCGGUGAAAUGCGUAGAGAUCGGGAGGAACACCAGUGGCGAAGGCGAUCACCUGGGGUUGUUCUGACGCUGAGGAGCGAAAGCUAGGGGAGCGAACGGGAUUAGAUACCCCGGUAGUCCUAGCCGUAAACGAUGGAUACUAGGUGUAUGUGGUAUCGACUCCAUAUGUGCCGUAGUUAACACAAUAAGUAUCCCGCCUGGGGAGUACGGCCGCAAGGUUA
rnacentral:rRNA from 1 species